GUAGGUGAACCUGCGGAAGGAUCAUUACCUAGAGUUUGCGGGCUUUGCCUGCUAUCUCUUACCCAUGUCUUUUGAGUACUUACGUUUCCUCGGUGGGUUCGCCCGCCGAUUGGACAAUUUAAACCCUUUGCAGUUGCAAUCAGCGUCUGAAAAAAAUUAAUAAUUACAACUUUCAACAACGGAUCUCUUGGUUCUGGCAUCGAUGAAGAACGCAGCAUCUGACUGACUGGUAGACUUCGUAUCUCGUAUG
rnacentral:misc_RNA from 1 species